AGUGAACGCUGGCGGUAGGCCUAACACAUGCAAGUCGAACGGCAGCACAGGAGAGCUUGCUCUCUGGGUGGCGAGUGGCGGACGGGUGAGGAAUACAUCGGAAUCUACUCUGUCGUGGGGGAUAACGUAGGGACACUUACGCUAAUACCGCAUACGAGCUACGGGUGAAAGCAGGGGACCUUCGGGCCUCGCGCGAUUGAAUGAGCCGAUGUCGGAUUAGCUAGUUGGCGGGGUAAAGGCCCACCAAGGCGACGAUCCGUAGCUGGUUUGAGAGGAUGAUGAGCCACACUGGAACGGAGACACGGUCCAGACUCCUACGGGAGGCAGCAGUGGGGAAUAUUGGACAAUGGGCGCAAGCCUGAUCCAGCCAUACCGCGUGGGUGAAGAAGGCCUUCGGGUUGUAAAGCCCUUUUGUUGGGAAAGAAAUCCAGCUGGCUAAUACCCGGUUGGGAUGACGGUACCCAAAGAAUAAGCACCGGCUAACUUCGUGCCAGCCGCCGCCGUAA
rnacentral:rRNA from 1 species